rnacentral:rRNA from 1 species
CCUGAGAGGGUGACCGGCCACAUUGGGACUGAGACACGGCCCAAACUCCUACGGGAGGCAGCAGUGGGGAAUAUUGCACAAUGGGGGAAACCCUGAUGCAGCGACGCCGCGUGAGCGAAGAAGUAUUUCGGUAUGUAAAGCUCUAUCAGCAGGGAAGAAGAAUGACGGUACCUGACUAAGAAGCACCGGCUAAAUACGUGCCAGCAGCCGCGGUAAUACGUAUGGUGCAAGCGUUAUCCGGAUUUACUGGGUGUAAAGGGAGCGCAGGCGGUGCGGCAAGUCUGAUGUGAAAGCCCGGGGCUCAACCCCGGUACUGCAUUGGAAACUGUCGUACUAGAGUGUCGGAGGGGUAAGUGGAAUUCCUAGUGUAGCGGUGAAAUGCGUAGAUAUUAGGAGGAACACCAGUGGCGAAGGCGGCUUACUGGACGA